AGAGCGAACGCUGGCGGCAGGCCUAACACAUGCAAGUCGAGCGCCCGUAGCAAUACGGGAGCGGCAGACGGGAUAGUAACACGUGGGAACGCGCCCUUCGGUUCGGAAUAACUCAGGGAAACUUGAGCUAAUACCGGAUACGCCCUUACGGGGAAAGAUUUAUUGCCGAAGGAACGGCCCGCGUCCGAUUAGCUAGUUGGUGAGGUAAUGGCUCACCAAGGCGACGAUCGGUAGCUGGUCUGAGAGGAUGACCAGCAUCACUGGGACUGAGACACGGCCCAGACUCCUACGGGAGGCAGCAGUGGGGAAUAUUGGACAAUGGGCGCAAGCCUGAUCCAGCCAUGCCGCGUGGAUGAUGAAGGCCUUAGGGUUGUAAAGUCCUUUUAACGGGGAAGUAUAAUGACGGUACCGUAGAAUAAGCCCGGCUAACUUCGCGCCAGCAGCCGC
rnacentral:rRNA from 1 species